UCUCGAUAGCGUAAAAGUUAAGUCUUUGUAUGGACUUGGAACAUUUUCCUACGUUUUCCGCUAGGGGCGCUGUUCCAACUGCAUACAAAUUCGAGUUAACUUUUACGAUAUCGA
rnacentral:pre_miRNA from 9 species